rfam:Triticum aestivum genome assembly, contig: Triticum_aestivum_CS42_TGACv1_scaffold_032370_1BL
CAUCUACUCCCUCCGUCCGAAAAUAGUUGUGAAUGAAUAAAAAGGGAUGUAUCUAGAACUAAAAUACUUCUAGGUAGAUCUCCUUUUAUUCAUUUUGAUGAGAAGUAUUUCCGGAUAGAGGGAGUACUAU